rnacentral:misc_RNA from 1 species
GACCUUCUCUCUUUCUCACUUCUCAUCACUAAACAUGGAUUUAUGGAAGGAGGGCAACAAUCUCUGCUUUCUAUCUCCUACUUUCAUUGAAUGGCUCAAGCCAUCUUCCUCCUCCUCUUCCUCUUCCUCUUCACUUACCUCAUCAUCAUCAUCUUCUUCUUCCGUGACUCAACAAAUUCAGCUCACAAACCCUAUGAGCAUACUAAAACUUCCUCUCUUGUACCCGCAAGAACAACUGCCUCAUCAACAGCAAGAAUUUGUGAAAGAAACCGUCGAGUGCUUGCCUCUUCUAAGCAGACUCUCAGAGGAUAGUAAAACAUUGAAAGAGGAGGGUAUGAGGGUGCAAGAAACUAGUACUGUUGGAGUUAAAGAAGAGAAUAUUACAGUGGCCUUGCACAUUGGACUGCCUAAUAGUGGUGGAGAUUCUCAAGUCGAGACAAAAGUUUUUGACUUUAAUAAGGAAGAAGAGCAACAUGCCAUCAAGAAAAGCGUCCAUGGACACUGCCCCUUCAACACAGAGAAUAGGUUUUGGAUCCCAACUCCAGCUCAGAUCCUUAUAGGGCCUAUGCAGUUUGAGUGCUCCAUAUGCAGCAAAACCUUCAAUAGGU